rnacentral:rRNA from 1 species
AUUGAACGCUGGCGGCAUGCCUUACACAUGCAAGUCGAACGGCAGCACGGGUGCUUGCACCUGGUGGCGAGUGGCGAACGGGUGAGUAAUACAUCGGAACGUACCUUAUCGGGGGGGAUAACGCAGCGAAAGUUGCGCCAAUACCGCAUACGCCCUGAGGGGGAAAGCGGGGGACCGUAAGGCCUCGCGCGAUUAGAGCGGCCGAUGUAUGAUUAGCUUGUUGGUGAGGUAAAAGCUCACCAAGGCGAUGAUCAGUAGCUGGUCUGAGAGGACGAUCAGACACACUGGGACUGAGACACGGCCCAGACUCCUACGGGAGGCAGCAGUGGGGAAUUUUGGACAAUGGGGGCAACCCUGAUCCAGCAAUGCCGCGUGAGUGAAGAAGGCCUUCGGGUUGUAAAGCUCUUUUGUCAGGGAAGAAACAGCAGCUCUAACACAGUCUGCGAAUGACGGUACCUGAAGAAUAAGCACCGGCUAACUACGUGCCAGCCGCCGCCGUAA